CUGAGUUCCUCUUAGGAAACCAGAAGUUUGGGGCGCCUCCUUUCCGCCUCGUGAGGUAGAGGGCUGGCCUGCGCCUGCGCCUGCCAUCAUUUUGGUUUGUUAAGCAAGGCAGAGCAUGAGCGAGUCGGUGGGACGCACCUCCGCGAUGCAUCGGCUGCAGGUAGUGCUGGGCCACCUGGCCGGCCGACCCGAGUCGAGCUCCGCGCUGCAAGCCGCGCCCUGCUCCGCUAGCUUCCCGCAGGCUUCGGCCUCCGACGUGGUGGUGGUGCACGGACGGCGCACCCCCAUCGGCCGCGCGGGCCGCGGCGGCUUCAAGGACACCACCC
rnacentral:lncRNA from 1 species